ACCAAGACUUUCAACCUUCUGACAUGGUGUAUUUUAGUUUUGUAAGGACUUAAAUAUACCUUAUAUGCAAGUUAUUGUGUGGACCUCCAUUGUCUGUGUUUGCUGAGGCGAGCUGGUCAUAACAGUUGCUUUUUUCGACGUUUGGAUGUCUUUUUUAGAAAAAGGUGUGUCGUUUAUUCAUCUUUUACGAUGGGUGUAUGUUGUUUUUUCGACAAAGGCUCUGGAUUUGUACUUGGACCAGAGAAGGUAGGCGGUUUUAAGGCACCUCCACAGAGCGGAUGGAGACGUCCCUUGGUUUGCAAGGCAAACAGCAAACCAACAGGUGACUCACCCCAGAGAUCCUCGUACGUGCCGUGACCAGCUGACUCGGACAGCCCGAUCCACGGAGUCACUUGGGUACGAUCUCCUCCGCCAGCCCUCUCUUUCAUAUCAGUUUAGUUCAUGUGUAAAAAGAGGCAUUGCUAAUCUCCGCAUUGGGACCACUUUGAUACUGUAAGAAUAUGGAGUUCAGAUAUAUUUCUGAUAUGAAUGAUGUUGUAGAUAGAGAAUAAAUAAUGUAAGGACAUGGGAAAUAACA